AAUUAAAUUAGUAUUUGACUUUUUAAUCCUUAAAGAGAUAAAUUAAUUUACUCUUUAAAAUUUUAUUUCUAAUGGCAUACCUAUAUAAUUACUUACAAAAAUUAAGGUUACAUUUAAAAUGUACUUCCCAAAUAAUAUAGUAGGAUAUUUUCUACUUUUUCUUUAUUUUUAGUUUCUCGUCGUGCGAAUUGUCACGCACUAAAGCACAUUACAUUGUUACUACCUGAACU
rnacentral:sRNA from 1 species